GAGACUUUGGAACACCUGCUUGCGGUAAU
rnacentral:sRNA from 1 species